UGGGGAAUAUUGGACAAUGGGGGCAACCCUGAUCCAGCAAUGCCGCGUGUGUGAAGAAGGCCUUCGGGUUGUAAAGCACUUUUAUCGGGAACGCAACAUUGUCGGCCAAUACCCGGCAAGACUGACGGUACCCGAGGAAUAAGCACCGGCUAACCCCGUGCCAGCAGCCGCGGUAAUACGGAGGGUGCAAGCGUUAAUCGGAAUUACUGGGCGUAAAGCGUGCGCAGGCGGUUUGUUAAGUCUGUCGUGAAAUCCCCGAGCUCAACUUGGGAAUUGCGAUGGAUACUGGAAAGCUGAAGUACGGUAGAGGAAGGUGGAAUUCCCGGUGUAGCAGUGAAAUGCGUAGAGAUCGGGAGGAACACCUGUGGCGAAGGCGGCCUUCUGGACCAGUACUGACUCUCAUGCACGAAAGCGUGGGGAGCAAACA
rnacentral:rRNA from 1 species